UACGAAGGGGGCUAGCGUUGUUCGGAAUCACUGGGCGUAAAGGGCGCGCAGGCGGCCAUUCAAGUCAGACGUGAAAUCCCUCGGCUUAACCGGGGAACUGCGUCUGAUACUGGAUGGCUUGAGAUUGGGAGAGGGAUGCGGAAUUCCAGGUGUAGCGGUGAAAUGACGUAGAUAUCUGGAGGAACACCGGUGGCGAAGGCGGCAUCCUGGACCAACACUGACGCUGAGGAGCGAAAGCCAGGGGGAGCAAACGGGG
rnacentral:rRNA from 1 species